GUACCGGAGUGGGUGAGAGUCCUGUAACUGUAAGCGUGGCACUGGUGUGGGGUUGCCCCGAGUAGCGUGGGACUCGUGGAAUUUCGCGUGAAUCUGGCGGGACCACCCGUCAAGCCUAAAUACUCCUUGGUGACCGAUAGUGGAUGAGUACCGUGAGGGAAGGGUGAAAAGUACCCCGGGAGGGGAGUGAAAGAGUUCCUGAAACCGGUCGCAUGCAAGCCGUCAGAGCCUGUGUGGUGAUGGCGUGCCUUUUGAAGAAUGAGCCUGCGAGUUAGUGAUGCGUGGCGAGGUUAACCCGUGGUGGGGGAGUCGUAGCGAAAGCGAGUC
rnacentral:rRNA from 17 species